rnacentral:rRNA from 1 species
GCUGACGAGUGGCGGACGGGUGAGUAAUGUCUGGGAAACUGCCUGAUGGAGGGGGAUAACUACUGGAAACGGUAGCUAAUACCGCAUAACGUCGCAAGACCAAAGAGGGGGACCUUCGGGCCUCUUGCCAUCGGAUGUGCCCAGAUGGGAUUAGCUAGUAGGUGGGGUAACGGCUCACCUAGGCGACGAUCCCUAGCUGGUCUGAGAGGAUGACCAGCCACACUGGAACUGAGACACGGUCCAGACUCCUACGGGAGGCAGCAGUGGGGAAUAUUGCACAAUGGGCGCAAGCCUGAUGCAGCCAUGCCGCGUGUAUGAAGAAGGCCUUCGGGUUGUAAAGUACUUUCAGCGGGG